rnacentral:sRNA from 1 species
UAUUCAUUGCAGAUAGCGUAAACAUGCCC